CACACAGUAAACGAUGAAUACUCGCUGUUUGCGAUAUACAGUAAGCGGCCAAGCGAAAGCAUUAAGUAUUCCACCUGGGGAGUACGCCGGCAACGGUGAAACUCAAAGGAAUUGACGGGGGCCCGCACAAGCGGUGGAGUAUGUGGUUUAAUUCGACGCAACGCGAAGAACCUUACCAAGGCUUGACAUUGAGUGAAAGGCUAAGAGAUUAGCCCCUCUCUUCGGAGACACGAAAACAGGUGG
rnacentral:rRNA from 1 species